rnacentral:rRNA from 1 species
ACGCUGGCGGCGUGCCUAAUACAUGCAAGUAGAACGCUGAAGGAGGAGCUUGCUUCUCUGGAUGAGUUGCGAACGGGUGAGUAACGCGUAGGUAACCUGCCUGGUAGCGGGGGAUAACUAUUGGAAACGAUAGCUAAUACCGCAUAAGAGUAGAUGUUGCAUGACAUUUGCUUAAAAGGUGCAAUUGCAUCACUACCAGAUGGACCUGCGUUGUAUUAGCUAGUUGGUGGGGUAACGGCUCACCAAGGCGACGAUACAUAGCCGACCUGAGAGGGUGAUCGGCCACACUGGGACUGAGACACGGCCCAGACUCCUACGGGAGGCAGCAGUAGGGAAUCUUCGGCAAUGGACGGAAGUCUGACCGAGCAACGCCGCGUGAGUGAAGAAGGUUUUCGGAUCGUAAAGCUCUGUUGUAAGAGAAGAACGAGUGUGAGAGUGGAAAGUUCACACUGUGACGGUAUCUUACCAGAAAGGGACGGCUAACUACGUGCCAGCAGCCGCGGUAAUACGUAGGUCCCGAGCGUUGUCCGGAUUUAUUGGGCGUAAAGCGAGCGCAGGCGGUUAGAUAAGUCUGAAGUUAAAGGCUGUGGCUUAACCAUAGUACGCUUUGGAAACUGUUUAACUUGAGUGCAAGAGGGGAGAGUGGAAUUCCAUGUGUAGCGGUGAAAUGCGUAGAUAUAUGGAGGAACACCGGUGGCGAAAGCGGCUCUCUGGCUUGUAACUGACGCUGAGGCUCGAAAGCGUGGGGAGCAAACAGGACUAGAUACCCUGGUAGUCCACGCCGUAAACGAUGAGUGCUAGGUGUUAGACCCUUUCCGGGGUUUAGUGCCGUAGCUAACGCAUUAAGCACUCCGCCUGGGGAGUACGACCGCAAGGUUGAAACUCAAAGGAAUUGACGGGGGCCCGCACAAGCGGU